AACGAACGCUGGCGGCAGGCUUAACACAUGCAAGUCGAACGCCCCGCAAGGGGAGUGGCAGACGGGUGAGUAACGCGUGGGAACGUGCCCUUCGCUUCGGAAUAGUCCCGGGAAACUGGGUUUAAUACCGGAUACGCCGUAUUGGGAAAGAUUUAUCGGCGAAGGAUCGGCCCGCGUUGGAUUAGCUAGUUGGCGGUGUAAUGGACCACCAAGGCGACGAUCCAUAGCUGGUCUGAGAGGAUGAUCAGCCACACUGGGACUGAGACACGGCCCAGACUCCUACGGGUGGCAGCAGUGGGGAAUCUUGGACAAUGGGCGCAAGCCUGAUCCAGCCAUGCCGCGUGAGUGAAGAAGGCCUUAGGGUUGUAAAACUCUUUCGCCGGAGAAGAUAAUGACGGUAUCCGGAGAAGAAGCCCCGGCUAACUUCGUGCCAGCAGCCGCGGUAAAAC
rnacentral:rRNA from 1 species